AAGUAGCCUACACGAUUGUUUACCUCAUCGUUUACUGAGCGCUGAUUACUGAAGAAGACAAUAUAAAAAAAUACUAAGUAGUUAGUUACACAGUCCAGUGCCCAGUACACUUCUUUUUCCACUAAGCCUUCAUAAAAUUGUAUUUACUGUCCUUAGUUUAUGCUGGUAAGCCUAAUCCUCCACUGGAACAGAUUGACACUAGGGCCUGUUUAUACAAGCAUUUGUCCACUAUUACCUGGACAAAUAGUCUGAAUCAAUACCGAAUUACAGGAUAUUUGCCUGACUGCUGAAACGAUCAUUCCUCCGCCCAACAUGUUGAGCAUUUUAUUGCCUGAGCAUUAAAGGAGACACUUAUCAGCUGACAGAUAACAGACAAUCAGCACACUGCUGACACAAUUCAUGAGACCUGGUGAGCAGAGAGGAUUGUCAAACAAAGGCUCCUGUAGGCAAACACACUCUUCAGUUGAGGAUAACUGCAGGCAGAGUGUGAGUAAAGCUCCGGGGGAAACAAACCUGAAGAACAAAGACGGCGUUGCAUUUGAAACGAGCUGACUGCGCCUGGCUUCUCUGCUGACGGGCAAUUAAAGUCUGGACUGGUCUUCACACAGCGGGUGGCCUCUGGCUCAUUCUCGUCCUGGAGAGAAUGCACAGACUACCUUUUCAACAGGUGAAUGUUUCACCAUCUAAAUCCUUCAAGAGGACCAGGGCAGUGACUUUAUAUGGUACACACCAUGACGUCGUCCCUUGCCCAAGGUACACUGAGGUGAAACUACCCAGAGUAAAUAAUGACUGAAGACUUCCAAGGUGUGCCUUCUCGUCAUUAUUUUGGCUUUGCAACUUCAUCAUCCCUAGGAGUGAUGCUGGAAGGAAAAAUGGGACAGAGUCUAUGCUGCUUGCUGGCCCUAAGAAUAGCUCAGUGUGCAAGAAGACCGAUGCCAAAGCAACCUGAGCAAGGGGUUGGAAAAACAUGAAUGAAUUAAUUAAUCAGUGAAUGGAUGACAAUAAAGUAAUCCAGAGGGCUGAUGAA